rnacentral:lncRNA from 1 species
GGAUUGUCUGUUUUCUGCAGGAAAGUGAUUUCUGGUGCUCUCAAGAAGACUUGGUGGUGUGGAACCUGGCAGCCUACUCAGUCAGUAGUAAGCUACAAGCAAACAAGAUACAAAUCACAAAGCUCACGGAGGAGAGGUUGAACACAUCCUCAGUAACGAAAAAGCUCUCAAAGAUAUCAGGGAGCUGUCCUGUCUAAGCAUGGCAAGCACAUCACCCUGAAAUGUCAUGGAAAAGAUCCAGUUUGAGCCAGUCUCUGCCAGCUAACCAGGACUGAUGAUGGACACAAGGAGAGGGAGCCCAUCGUGGUGCUCACAACUGUUACCUGCUGGUCUGCAAAUCUGAUUUUCCUGCACUGAGCCGCUUCCAAGCACAGUGAAUCUUGCAGAUCGGCAUCAACCAUGUCUGUGUUGAUCAUUUCACCUUCCCAGACAAAYCUCUGGACAAGUGUCAGCCCAGAGCAGGCUGGCUGUGCCGAACUUCUCCGGUGGCCCAGUGGCUGCUGCCAGCUCUGUUAAAGUCUUGCGGUGUUGGGAGUGUUUUCGUCCUGAGCCGAGGGGGGAAAGAGGUCCAGUUCCUGCCGAGAACAAUACCACCAC